rnacentral:rRNA from 1 species
GAUGAACGCUGGCGGCGUGCUUAACACAUGCAAGUCGAACGAUGAAGCCGGAGCUUGCUCUGGUGAAUUAGUGGCGAACGGGUGAGUAACACGUGAGUAACCUGCCCUUGACUCUGGGAUAACUGCUAGAAAUGGUAGCUAAUACCGGAUACGACCCUCGGAGGCAUCUCCAGGGGGUGGAAAGAAUUUCGGUCAAGGAUGGACUCGCGGCCUAUCAGCUAGUUGGUGAGGUAACGGCUCACCAAGGCAACGACGGGUAGCCGGCCUGAGAGGGUGACCGGCCACACUGGGACUGAGACACGGCCCAGACUCCUACGGGAGGCAGCAGUGGGGAAUAUUGCACAAUGGGCGCAAGCCUGAUGCAGCAACGCCGCGUGAGGGAUGACGGCCUUCGGGUUGUAAACCUAUUUUAGUAGGGAAGAAGCGAAAGUGACGGUACCUGCAGAAAAAGCACCGGCUAACUACGUGCCAGCCGCCGCGGUAA